UAUACAAGUUGACUUACUAAAAUGUUUUGCACAAAGGAAGAAGCGAGGAAACCUUCUAGAAGCUUGUGAGAAGACUUGUUUGAUUCAGUGUUGCUGAUGUGUGGCGGAAUGAUGAGAGGGAGUGGCUGCUGCCAGUACGAUGCACACCUAGCUUCAUCUCUGGACCCAGGCCACAGCAUGUGGUUGUGCACUAAACCUCUAGCGACAAUUUCAAAGACUCUCCCUACAACAGAUGUUAAAUUUACUGGCCUGCACAUAUGACCUCGUCCAUGUUCCAGAUAUCGCCUUCCAAGGAAAGAUUUUGAAAGGUUUAUACGUUAAUAAAUGUUCAAAUUGGUUAGUAAAAAUAUUAUGGCUGUAAAAAGGACACUAGAGAGAUAUUAAUAAAAAGCUUUUCAGCACCAGAA